GACGAACCGUGCGAACGUUGUUCGGAAUCACUGGGCUUAAAGGGCGCGUAGGCGGCCGCGUCAGUCCGGGGUGAAAGCCCCCAGCUCAACUGGGGAAGUGCCCCGGAGACGGCGCGGCUCGAGCGGGGUAGGGGCGUGUGGAACUUCCGGUGGAGCGGUGAAAUGCGUAGAUAUCGGGAGGAACACCAAUGGCGAAGGCAGCUCGCUGGGACGUGGACUGACGCUGAGACGCGAAAGCGUGGGGAGCAAACAGG
rnacentral:rRNA from 1 species